CACAGAGUUAGCCGGUGCUUCCUUUGGGGGUACCGUCACUCCCUCUGAGUAUUCCCCAGAGAGUCAUUCGUCCCCCCUGACAGCGGUUUACACCCCGAAGGGCUUCCUCCCGCACGCGGCGUCGCUGGGUCAGCCUUUCGGCCAUUGCCCAAUAUUCCCCA
rnacentral:rRNA from 1 species